rnacentral:rRNA from 1 species
AUUGAACGCUGGCGGCAUGCCUUACACAUGCAAGUCGAACGGUAACAGGUCUUCGGAUGCUGACGAGUGGCGAACGGGUGAGUAAUACAUCGGAACGUGCCCGAUCGUGGGGGAUAACGGAGCGAAAGCUUUGCUAAUACCGCAUGAGAUCUACGGAUGAAAGCAGGGGAUCGCAAGACCUUGUGCUACUAGAGCGGCCGAUGGCAGAUUAGGUAGUUGGUGGGAUAAAAGCUUACCAAGCCGACGAUCUGUAGCUGGUCUGAGAGGACGAUCAGCCACACUGGGACUGAGACACGGCCCAGACUCCUACGGGAGGCAGCAGUGGGGAAUUUUGGACAAUGGGCGCAAGCCUGAUCCAGCAAUGCCGCGUGCAGGAUGAAGGCCUUCGGGUUGUAAACUGCUUUUGUACGGAACGAAAAGCCCUGGGUUAAUACCCUGGGGUCAUGACGGUACCGUAAGAAUAAGCACCGGCUAACUACGUGCCAGCCGCCGCCGUAACAC